AACAAUAUUAAAUAAAUUGACUAUACAUUAUCACAUCAGUUCGAACUGAGAUAAAUGAAAAGAAAGAACAGGGAAUUCAAGCUGACCAUUCCUAAGAAGCAUUCUCUCAUUGAAGAAUAUUUUGCCCUUAAAUAACAACUAUAUGAGUAUAUCCAGAAUCUAAUAUAACCAAAAAAACAAAAGAUGAUAGACAUCCAGAACUUAACAAAAUGUUUAACACUUAACAGAUGUUUGCACAGUAUGUCCUUCUUUUAUUUGCACAGUAUGUCCUUCUUUUAUUUGCCAGAGUCAAGAACAUAAGUAAUACUGUAUUAACAGAG
rnacentral:lncRNA from 1 species